GGUACAUUCGCGGUCGUUGGUGCGCGUGCCGGCGGCUCUGCCGGCACCGUGAAACGGGAAUCGGCAGGGCGCCGCGCGAUGCUGCGCAGCCUCCAAGCCGAGCUGCCCCCGCAACGGUAUGCGGACGAGCGGGUCGACCCUCAGGGUCUCGCGCUCGGUGCCUGUACGACGUCCACUGGGCCGAGCGUGGCCCGGGAAGGACUCGGGCACAUGUCCGCCAGCCCGGAGACCGGCCAACAGGGGGCCACGCGC
rnacentral:ncRNA from 2 species